GUUUUUUACCAGAUAAGCUUUUUAAAAAAUUAUGUUCAACAAUUAUCUUUUUAUUGUAGUUAAGUUUUUCAAAUUCUUGCUGUUUUCAAUAUCUCCUGGUUUCAUCAUCCCUACUGAGAAAUUACGUAUACAAUCUUAUAAUUAAUUGUUUGCUUUGGUCUUCUUUUAUUUUCCUGCUUUAUGAUAAAAUUUUCAUUAGCCUAAAUGUGUUAUUAAUUUUUCUUGUUUCUUAAAUAUUUGUUCAAUAUUAUAUUCACAACUUUAAGUUCAAAGGAUCAGUUUUCUGAACAGAUCUUCAUACACUAUAAAUUCCUUGUUGUAUGACCAUCUCUAAUAAUUUUAUUUUUAAUUUUUAGGUAAUGCCUGAUUAUAAUUUAAAUAAGGACGUUGACAAAAAUUAAUGAACCAUUUGCACAAAAAAUAUUUGAAUCAACAUUUAUUCACUCCUGGAAGAUAUUAAAUAUUUCAACAGAAUAUUCCAAUGGAUGGAACUUUUUCCAGCAUCUGGAUUAUUUUCCAGGUUAGACACAUGUUUGUCCACAGACUUGUCUUCUCUGAAUGAAAUCCAAAAGUUGUUUUUACUCCUAGAACCCUCAAAGCCUCUCUGUUUUUUGUCUAUCUAUUUUGCUCACUGUUGUUGAAUCUAUAUUCUUCAAAUGUGCCUUUACCAAGUCUCCAAAAUCACUGUGAGUAUAUGAUUCUCUGGGUAUGAGGUUGUGUAGUCAUGUCAAAUUAAAAUUUAAUAUUCCACAUACAGUCUGCACAGACAAAUAUAAGAAAUUUUGUAAUAACAUUUGUCUUGGUUAGUGUUGAUAGCUGAAUGCGAUUUCUUAUUCUACUGUGGAUCAAUAGAUCAAGAUUCCUUCAGAGAGGAAAGGCAAGUACCCAAAGGUUUUCUUCUAAUGACUGAAACACGUGGUCAGAAGACACACUAUUAACACUCGUCCUAAUAAUUUUUCAGCUAAAGAGUUGGGAAUGUAAGGAAAGGAAAUGGCUAGACUAUUCAAGAUUCUACUGGCAGAUUAUUUGUGAUGGUUGGUCUCUUUUUGCCUCCUAGAACAUUCAAGAGUACUUCAAGAGUUUUCCUCCCAUCUCUGGUGCAUCAAGUCUCAGCAGGUUUAGGAGCAUCCUCUCCCAUUGAGGCCAGCCAAGGUGGCUCCUACACAGGUGCCAGAGGGCCUCUGAUCAGCCCUCUGAUCAGACGUAUGUAUGAUGUAUGCUCUUUGGUUGGUGGCUCAGUCUCUAGGGUCCAGACCAUGACUAUCUAAUGACAUUAUAAUGAUCAGCAUUCAAAAGAACUUGAGUCCACAGAACUCAAGAAAUUUCACAGCUUUAUCUUCCCUUCCUGGGCUGUUUAUGAAAUAUCUAAACUCAAAUGCACAGGGACAAUUCACCUUAAAGCCCAGGCUCAGCAAGAAACCAGCAGUAGAGAAAUGCAAAGGAAAGAAGAGUUAAGAAAAGAAGGCCUUUCAUAACAUAUUGUUCCACAGGGGCUCUGAGCCCCACCAGGACAAAGUUUUCACAGUUGCUAGAGUUAACAAGACACGAAACCUACUAGGAAAAGACCUGACUUCUAUUUGCCAUGAUGGAAAACUCCCCACAGUAAUUCUGGAAUGUUUUAUGUUACUAUCUGCCUUAUGGACAAGAUCCUGCUUCUUAAAUGAACCCUAAUCUCUUCAAUUCCAUCAGCAUGAAGAGAAACAAUUGUGCAUCAAAUCAUUGGCUAUACAAUAAGGAUAUGCUGUCUCUCAACAAAGAAAAUGGAACCAAAACUGAGGGUAUAUUGGCAAUAUCACUAAACAUAGCAUCAUGUCAAACAAUAAAGAAGUUGGAUUGUGAAAAAGAUGUAAACAUAAAAACAAUCCAUCUGUGCAUAUGGUAGCAUGUAUCUUAAAGGAAUUACUUCAAAUUAUCAAAGGAAAUUUGCUGACAUCUAGACUAUAUGAAGAAUGACUUGGGGUACAUGACCAGGUCAAUGAAGAAGAGAAAGUAGCCACUGUGCAGAGUCCUUAUUUCAAAUACCUCCCACCAGGACCAAAUGUGUAUGGUCUUGUCUAUUGAUAAGACAGAAAACCUACUUGAAAAAGAGCUGACAACAAUUUGUGAUGAUCGAAAUCUGCCCACAGAAAUUCUGGAUAUGCUGUUCUUCAUCCAAGAAAAGGGGCCCCAAAUUCAGGAUAUAUCCAUAAUUUCACACAACAUAGCAUCAUGAAGAAGUUGGAUUGUGAAGAAGAUGUAAACAUAAAAAAAUAAUCCAUCUGUGUAUAUGGUAGCAUGUAUCUUAAAGGUAAGGAAAGUCCUUGCAUCAUACACCCUCAGGAUUCUUCUCAAUCUAUUUGAGUAGUUUCCUUCAUUAUGCAUUCCCUUGAGUGGUAGUAGAUAACAUAUAAGAGAAAUCUGAUAAAAAAGCAAAAACAAAAACAAAAAGCUGUCAUAAUGAGCAGUAAUGUAACUAAGUAUCUUUCAUUUGAUUCUUCCACAAGUAUAUGGAGAGUCACUUCAUACAUGCAUAUGAGUUUCACCUGAUAUGCAUGCCUCCUCAGAUGCAUUUGUCUAAGAGUGUUCUUAAGGGUGUCACUCUCCUUUUUUUCUGAGAGGCAGGUUUCUCUUCCUAGGUAUAGAGCACGUGACUCCUUCAUGUAUAUCUUUGCUGUACAUACCCAGUAGAAUCUCUUGGUCUGCUUGUCCCUCUCACUCACAAAAUAUUGGUAUCCAAAUGAAGGUUCACAUGGCUAUGUAACACGUAUUCUUAAGUACUGGGCCAUUCCUUCAGCACCAUAAUUUUAUUGUUAUAUUUAAAAAUUAAAAUCAUUUCACUCCUCCCUAUUCCUUGCUCUAAUGUUGUUUCCCUUCAAUCUCCCACUUCUGAUAAAAUACAUUUUCUUUAACUGUUAUUUUGUAGAUACAAAUAAAUCCAUAAAUAUGUUCAAAUAACCUGAUGAGUCCAUUAUCCUUGUUAGUAUCUGUACUAUUUCCAAAGGAACCAACUGUGAUUGGCUUACAAAUUAGGGGGUUCAUUUUUGAGAAAGACCAAUUUCCUCACUCUUCAUAGUAUUUAUUUGCAUGUAGUUCCUUAUCUAAAAGUUUGACUUCAUGAGAUUUCCUCAUUUUGAUUUAGUGUUACUAACUUGGAUAAUGUUUUGUUUAGAACUUGCUUAAACAACCAGACUGUGGGACUAACAAAAGUGAAGCUUCUCCUGCAUUUCUCUGAGGCCCAAUCCCAAAGCAGAUAUCCUGAUCCUCUGGUAUACAAUCAUUCUGACUUUUUAAACAAAUUUUUGGAGCCCAAGGUUAAGGAGUUAGUAUGUAUAUGUAGGCAGUGGGGCAUGGAGCCACAGGAUAUUUUGUUCUUUGUACCUUGAAUACGUGCAGUUUUCAAUAGUCAUCAUCCAUUGCAAAAAGAAUCUCCUUCGAUGGAUGGGUAAGGACUACAUUAUCUGGGAAUAUCAUCUUAAACAAUUAGACUACAGUUAGGAACAUCAUGCUUGUUUAGUGAAAUGGUCACAGGAAUUUAAGAGCCACGACCUC
rnacentral:sRNA from 1 species